rnacentral:rRNA from 1 species
GACGAACGCUGGCGGCGUGCUUAACACAUGCAAGUCGAACGGAAAGGCCCUGCUUUUGUGGGGUGCUCGAGUGGCGAACGGGUGAGUAACACGUGAGUAACCUGCCCUUGACUUUGGGAUAACUUCAGGAAACUGGGGCUAAUACCGGAUAGGAGCUCCUGCUGCAUGGUGGGGGUUGGAAAGUUUCGGCGGUUGGGGAUGGACUCGCGGCUUAUCAGCUUGUUGGUGGGGUAGUGGCUUACCAAGGCUUUGACGGGUAGCCGGCCUGGGAGGGUGACCGGCCACAAUGGGACUGAGAUACGGCCCAGACGCCUACGGGAGGCAGCAGUGGGGAAUAUUGCACAAUGGGCGGAAGCCUGAUGCAGCAACGCCGCGUGCGGGAUGACGGCCUUCGGGUUGUAAACCGCUUUCGCCUGUGACGAAGCGUGAGUGACGGUAAUGGGUAAAGAAGCACCGGCUAACUACGUG